rnacentral:tRNA from 1 species
GCCCUUUUAACUCAGUGGUAGAGUAAUGCCAUGGUAAGGCAUAAGUCAUCGGUUC